AUUUUAACGAUGAAUGCCUCGGCUCGGCUAACGAUGAAGGACGCAGCGAAUUGCGAUAAGCAAUGCGAAUUGCAGAAUUCCGUGAAUCAUCAGAUUUCUGAACGUACCCUACGCUAUCGGGUAUUCCUGAUAGCAUGUCUGGUCUCAGCG
rnacentral:rRNA from 2 species